UGCAAGUCGAACGGCAGCACGGGAGCAAUCCUGGUGGCGAGUGGCGAACGGGUGAGUAAUAUAUCGGAACGUGCCCAGUCGUGGGGGAUAACGUAGCGAAAGCUACGCUAAUACCGCAUACGAUCUACGGAUGAAAGCGGGGGACUCGCAAGAGCCUCGCGCGAUUGGAGCGGCCGAUAUCAGAUUAGGUUGUUGGUGAGGUAAAAGCUCACCAAGCCUGCGAUCUGUAGCUGGUCUGAGAGGACGACCAGCCACACUGGAACUGAGACACGGUCCAGACUCCUACGGGAGGCAGCAGUGGGGAAUUUUGGACAAUGGACGCAAGUCUGAUCCAGCAAUGCCGCGUGCAGGACGAAGGCCUUCGGGUUGUAAACUGCUUUUGUACGGAACGAAACGGUCUGCUUUAAUACAGUGGGCUAAUGACGGUACCGUAAGAAUAAGCACCGGCUAACUACGUGCCAGCAGCCGCGGUAAUACGUAGGGUGCGAGCGUUAAUCGGAAUUACUGGGCGUAAAGCGUGCGCAGGCGGAUAUAUAAGUCAGAUGUGAAAUCCCCGGGCUUCAACUGGGAACUGCAUUUGAGACUGUAUAGCUUAGA
rnacentral:rRNA from 1 species